UUAAGCAACUCCAGAGUCAUGGAUCCUUGAGGGAAAGGCAGGAGACAUGAGGAUAAAAGGAGGCCAGGGGUGAGCCCGAAACGUAAUGAAAAAAAGAUACUAAACAGAAUAUCGUUUAGUAUAAUCUCUCUAGAGCUUCAUUUGGAUAACAGCUUUUCAACUACCCAGAAUGGGAUAGGAAAUGAGAACAUUGCCUUAUCAUCAGAUGGACCUUCAGAUUCAAGAUCUGCUCGGAUCUCUGGUUUCUGCUUUUAUCCACCAGUGCUCCCUUAUCUCAAAGCCUUGGAUCUUAUGCUAGCCACGGGUCUCUCAAA